rnacentral:rRNA from 1 species
GACGAACGCUGGCGGCGUGCUUAACACAUGCAAGUCGAACGGAAAGGCCCUGCUUUUGUGGGGUGCUCGAGUGGCGAACGGGUGAGUAACACGUGAGUAACCUGCCCUUGACUUUGGGAUAACUUCAGGAAACUGGGGCUAAUACCGGAUAGGAGCUCCUGCUGCAUGGUGGGGGUUGGAAAGUUUCGGCGGUUGGGGAUGGACUCGCGGCUUAUCAGCUUGUUGGUGGGGUAGUGGCUUACCAAGGCUUUGACGGGUAGCCGGCCUGAGAGGGUGACCGGCCACAUUGGGACUGAGAUACGGCCCAGACUCCUACGGGAGGCAGCAGUGGGGAAUAUUGCACAAUGGGCGGAAGCCUGAGGCAGCAACGCCGCGUGCGGGAUGACGGCCUUCGGGGUGUAAACCGCUUUCGCCUGUGACGAAGCGUGAGUGACGGUAAUGGGUAAAGAAGCACCGGCUAACUACGUG